rnacentral:rRNA from 1 species
GUAGGUGGCAAGCGUUGUCCGGAAUUAUUGGGCGUAAAGCGCGCGCAGGCGGUUCUUUAAGUCUGAUGUGAAAGCCCACGGCUCAACCGUGGAGGGUCAUUGGAAACUGGAGAACUUGAGUACAGAAGAGGAAAGCGGAAUUCCACGUGUAGCGGUGAAAUGCGUAGAGAUGUGGAGGAACACCAGUGGCGAAGGCGGCUUUCCGGUCUGUAACUGACGCUGAGGCGCGAAAGCGUGGGGAGCAAACAGGAUUAGAUACCCUGGUAGUCCACGCCGUAAACGAUGAGUGCUAAGUGUUAGGGGGGUUUCCGCCCCCCUUAGUGCUGCAGCUAACGCAUUAAGCACUCCGCCUGGGAGUACGGCCGCAAGGCUG